CCUACGGGCGGCAGCAGUGGGGAAUAUUGCACAAUGGGCGCAAGCCUGAUGCAGCCAUGCCGCGUGUGUGAAGAAGGCCUUCGGGUUGUAAAGCACUUUCAGCGGGGAGGAAGGCGGUGAGGUUAAUAACCUCAUCGAUUGACGUUACCCGCAGAAGACGCACCGGCUAACUCCGUGCCAGCAGCCGCGGUAAUACGGAGGGUGCAAGCGUUAAUCGGAAUUACUGGGCGUAAAGCGCACGCAGGCGGUCUGUCAAGUCGGAUGUGAAAUCCCCGGGCUCAACCUGGGAACUGCAUUCGAAACUGGCAGGCUAGAGUCUGGUAGAGGGGGGUAGAAUUCCAGGUGUAGCGGUGAAAUGCGUAGAGAUCUGGAGGAAUACCGGUGGCGAAGGCGGCCCCCUGGACAAAGACUGACGCUCAGGUGCGAAAGCGUGGGGAGCAAACAGGAUUAGAUACCCCUGUAGUC
rnacentral:rRNA from 1 species